GAAGGUAUAGCUCAAGUGGUAGAGCACAUGGGUUAACAUGCACGAGGUCCUGGGUUCAAUCCUCAGUACCUCCU
rfam:Camelus ferus unplaced genomic scaffold scaffold130, whole genome shotgun sequence.